GGGUCUCUCCUAGCACUGCGGUAAUAUGGCUCCUUAGUGAGCGGUCCCGGCUCGGUGCUGCUACCGCCAUUAACCCCUUGGUGCUCGGUUGCGGUGGAGGGACCGCGGGGCCGAUGCGCAGGCGCCUCUCACGCUCCCGGGCCGCCGCCCUCCCGUGAGGAUGAGCUCGGCCGUCGGCCCCGCCGCGCUGCCCGCGGGCUCCAGCAGCCGGGCCCUGCAUGUGGAGCUGCCCUCGCAGCAGCGGCGGCUUCGUCACCUACGGAAUAUUGCUGCACGUAACAUUGUUAAUAGGAAUGGUUAUCGCCUCCUGGAUACCUACUUCACUCUUCAUUUGUGUGAUAACAGUAAGAUAUGUAAAGAAUUUUAUAGGAGUGAAGUGAUCAAGAACUCCCUGAAUCCAACAUGGAGGAGUCUUGACUUUGGAAUAAUGCCUGAUCGCCUCGAUACAUCUGUGUCAUGUUUUCUGGUGAGGAUCUGGGGUGGCAAGAAAGAGCUCUAUCAGCUGUUGAUCGAAUGGAAAGUCAGUCUAGAUGGACUAAAAUACUUGGGUCAGCAGAUACAUGCUCGAAACCCAAAUGAAAUAAUUUUUGGGUUGAACGAUGGCUAUUAUGGAGCUUCCUUUGAACAGAAGGAUCAUUCAGGCACCCAGAAGAGUAGUCUUCUCCAGGUAGAUCAGAACUGUGUCCGUAACUCAUAUGAUGUCUUCUCGUUGCUUAGGCUUCAUAGAGCCCAGUGUGCAAUUAAACAGACUCAGGUAACUGUUCAGAAAAUAGGAAGGGAGAUUGAAGAAAAACUGAGACUUACAUCCACAAGCAAUGACCUGAAAAAAAAGAGUGAGUGUUUACAGUUGAAGAUUUUGGUGCUUCGGCAUGAGCUGGAGAGGCAGAAGAAGGCACUGGGUCGAGAGGUGGCCUUGCUGCAUAAGGAACAAAAUAUGUUACUUGACAAAGGAAAGGCAUUUGAGACUGAAUACCAGAGGCUUCAAAUGCAUAAAGAAUCCCUGCAUGAGUUGAGAAAAGAAUGCACUGCUAAGAGAGAAUUGUUCUUGAAGACCAAUGCACAGUUGACCAUUCGGUGCAGGCAGUUGUUAUCAGAGCUUUCCUAUAUUUACUCUAUUGAUUUGAACGAUCAAAAGGAUUACUUCGUCUGCGGAGUCAAGCUGCCUAAUUCUGAAGACUUUCAAGCAAAAGAUGAUGGAAGCAUUGCUGUUGCCCUGGGCUACACUGCACACUUGGUCUCAAUGAUUUCCUUCUUUCUACAAGUGCCACUCAGGUAUCCCAUAAUUCACAAAGGUUCCAGAUCUGCAAUCAAAGAUAAUAUCAACGACAAACUGACAGAGAAAGAGCGAGAGUUUCCACUAUAUCCAAAGGGAGGAGAGAGACUUCAGUUUGAUUAUGGAGUUUACCUUCUCAACAAAAAUAUAGCACAGCUUAGAUAUCAACAUGGAUUGGGUACUCCAGACCUAAGGCAAACUCUUCCUAACCUGAAAAACUUCAUGGAGCAUGGGCUCAUGGUCAGAUGUGAUCGGCAUCAUAUUUCUAGUGCAAUUCCAGUUCCAAAGAGACAAAGUUCUACCUUCGGUGGCUUGGAUGUUGGCUUAUCUACUGGGCCUCCUUCCCCAGAUAAGGGACACCGGAAACGGGCCAGCUCAGAGAAUGAAAGACUACAGUACAAAACCCCCCCUCCUAGUUAUAAUUCUGCAUUAGCACAGCCUGUUGCCAUUGCAGCACCUGUAGAAGAGUCGGAUAAAAAAUCUGGAUCGCUAACCUCAUCCUUAGAUACCUCCAUGGACUUCUCAAAAGAAACCAACAAAAGAGAGGAUUUGUGUGACAGUUUAAAUGCAGAAAAUGGGAGUCUGAAUAAUGUCCAAGACCAGCAGGAGUCUUUCCUGGGACAUACUAGUGCAAUAAAUGGAACAUUUCUGCCUAGUGAAUGCACUGGCAGUGCAAGCAGCGAGCAGCCAUGCGAGUUCCAUCCUCCCCUCAGCACUGAUCUUUGUUGCACUGUUGAGCAAGCAGAGGAAAUAAUUGGGAUGGAAGCAACAGGAUUCAGCACCGGAGAUCAGCUAGAAGCCUUUAACUGCAUCCCGGUGGACCAUGCUGUGGCAGUGGAAUGUGAUGAUCAAGUUCUAGGGGAGUUUGAGGAGUUCUCCCGAAGGAUCUAUGCACUGAACGAAAACAUGUCCAGCUUUCGCAGACCACGCAAAAGUUCGGACAAGUAAGCUUCAACAGGAAUUCGGUAGUGGACAGUACCACGGUGAUAUCAGUGAUCUGAAAUGAAGAUAAAGUUGCACUUAUAAUCCUUUGUGUUAAUUAUGGAAAAAUGAUUAAAGCUGUUCCUUUGGUGUUGGAAAAUGAACUUUGUAACUGAGAGUGAUAACACAGGAUCAUGGUAUAUUCACUGUCCAGCAGAGAGAAAUAUCGCAGAACCACCUACAACCUCCAGUCUGAGCACCAAUGGCAAUAGGAGUCACUCAUGCACAUUUGCGGGUGGAGCACUUCUACUGAUACAUACAGUACAUGCAUGAGGAAAGUCAUUAUAUUUGGGAGUACAAUGUAGCCUGUGCUGUGGUGUCUCUAAAGCCACCCAAAGAAAAGUUGUAAAAUUAUAUCCCUUACACAGGCACCAUUUGACUCAAAGCAAUUGGACAAUGUAUUAAAUGGGGUUCAUAGAACAUCAGUGUGACUUAAAAUACUUUUUGCAUUAUUUUCAAAUUGAUUAUCUCAGGUUCCACACAACCAAAUGAAGCCCAAUAGUUGUCUUCCCUCAUGUUGUGUUGUGUUGCUCUUUAACCCAGUGUUUCUGGAGUUUAUAAAAACUCUUCUAAUGAACCACUAUUGACCCCUGUAAUUAUAAUGCUUAUGUCACAGUACAGCUAUUCUUGAGUCUGCAUGUUUGUUGCACAAGUUUGCUUUACCCACUUUCUUCAAUAAUGAAUCCUUUCAGCACACCCACACCUUAAAUUGCCACCAUGUUUCUUGGCAGCGUUUUAUAACCUUCUACCUACAAUAGUGUCUUGGGGCUAAUCAAAGCAUUGACAAAUUUAUUUUUGCCAUUAUAAGGCAAAAUUAUUGCGCAAGCCGCCACCACGUGGCUCUUUUACAGUUUGCCUUGUAAAUUACUGAAUUAAAAAAAAAUCUUGGGGUGAGGGGGAAUGGAGGCAAACUGUAAAUUUGGAUGAUAUAUCACUGUGCAUUUUAGUUGCCAAGAGCCUUUUAGUUUCUGCACAGCAGACACACUGUUAAGUCUGCAAGCGUUUUCAAGUGAAAAUGUUUCAUUGCAUUUUCUUCCCCCACUAGAAAUUCCUAAGAUUUCUCAGAAUAUUAGCUUUGGAAGAUUUGUGUCCAGCUCUAUUUUUAUAGCAAGCAUAAGUGUGUUGGCUUAUCCUUGCCUAGCCAGGUACUUUAAAUAACUAAAACGAAAUAAAAUAUCCCAUAAUAAAUGGCAUGUUAAAGUUCCAUUGGUAAUUGCAAAAAAUCUCUGCAUCUGUAUUUAUAAAAUAAAAUUGGUUAGUAUUUAUCUGAA